rnacentral:tRNA from 1 species
GCCUGGAUAGCUCAGUUGGUAAAGAAUCAGGCUUUUAAUUUAAGGGCCUGGGGUUCAAUUCCCUGUUCAGGAA